rnacentral:rRNA from 1 species
GGGGGGGGGGGGGGGGGGGGGGGGGGCAGGGGGGGCGGGCGGGCAGGCGAGGAGCUGGGUGCUCGGACGGGAGCGGCGGACGGGUGAGGAACACGUGGAUAACCUACCUAUAAGACGGGGAUAACUUCGGGAAACCGGAGCUAAUACCGGAUAAUAUAUUGAACCGCAUGGGUCAAUAGUGAAAGACGGUUUUGCUGUCACCUAUAGAUGGAUCCGCGCCGCAUUAGCUAGUUGGUAAGGUAACGGCUUACCAAGGCAACGAUGCGUAGGCGACCUGAGAGGGUGAUCGGCCCCACUGGAACUGGGACGCGGUCCAGGCUCCUACGGGAGGCCGCAGUAGGGAAUCUUCCGCAAUGGGCGAAAGCCUGACGGAGCAGCGCCGCGUGAGUGAUGAAGGUCUUCGGAUCGUAAAACUCUGUUAUUAGGGAAGAACAAAUGUGUAAGUAACUAUGCACGUCUUGACGGUACCUAAUCAGAAAGCCACGGCUAACUACGUG